rnacentral:rRNA from 1 species
CAGUCGCCGCGGUAAUACGAACCGUGCGAACGUUAUUCGGAAUCACUGGGCUUAAAGCGCGUGUAGGCGGGACGGCACGUCGACUGCUGAAAUCCCUCGGCUUAACCGAGGAACGGGCAUCGAUACGACCGUCCUGGAGGGACGUAGGGGGACCUGGAACUUCCGGUGGAGCGGUGAAAUGCGUUGAGAUCGGAAGGAACGCCCGUGGCGAAAGCGAGGUCCUGGACGUCUACUGACGCUGAGACGCGAAAGCUAGGGGAGCGAACGGGAUUAGAUACCCCCGUAGUCCCUGUCUCUUAUA